GUCACAUCCACAGUACAACCAGGAGGAAGGAGGAGAGAUAUCCUUUUCACUGAAGAACUCUUCCUGAGUGGGUGGCCCCCAGCCCUCUGCUGCUUGGACCUCAUUGGCCGGAGCUCAGUCAGAUGAAGCAGCUCCCAGGGAAGACUGAGUAAUGCUGUCUGGGUUCCGGGAAGCCCUGGGGAGCUGAGUGCCAGUUUUCUUAGCAUGGGAGAAGGGAAGAGUAGACUUCGGGAAUGGCCUCACUCACUCUCCACAGGAGAAUCCCGGCCAGCGGCCAGCGAGCAACACGACCGACUCUUCUCCAGCCCCCUCCAACUCAGCCUUCCAAGACCUCAGAAUGGAACUGUGUUUGGGGACAGGACCUUUAAAAGGGUGCCUAACCACAGAGAUCUCCUGGGCUAUUGAAAUAGGCACAUGAUACCUUUGGCUCUCAGUUCUCCCAGAUUGUGGUCCAAAAUUCCCU
rnacentral:lncRNA from 1 species